rnacentral:misc_RNA from 1 species
GAUAAGAACGUAGCGAAAUGCGAUACUUGGUGUGAAUUGCAGAAUCCCGUGAACCAUCGAGUCUUUGAACGCAAGUUGCGCCCGAAGCCAUCAGGUUGAGGGCACGUCUGCCUGGGCGUCACAUAUCGUUGCCCAAUGCCUAUUGCAGUGCAAUAGGAAUUUCUAGGGCGAAUGAUGGCUUCCCGUGAGCGUUGUUGCCUCGCGGUUGGUUGAAAAUCGAGUCCUUGGUAGGGUGUGCCAUGGUAGAUGGUGGUCGAGUUAGAACGAUACCGAUCAUGUGCAUGCUCCCCAAAAUAUGGCCUCUAUGACCCACACGCGUCUUUUGACGCUCAUGACGAGACCUCAGGUCAGGCGGGGCUACCCGCUGAAUUUAAGCAUAUCAAUAAGCGGAGGA